UCCCUCUUAGCUCAGUUGGUAGAGCGCGUCACUAGUACAGUCUAAGUCGUUGCUUGAUGACGAGGUCAGUCGUUCAAAUCGGCUAGCGGGAA